UGGGGAAUUGUUCGCAAUGGGCGCAAGCCUGACGACGCAACGCCGCGUGGAGGAUGAAGAAUUUCGGUUCGUAAACCCCUGUCGAGCGGGACGAAUGACUCGCGGUUUAAUACACCGCGGGAAUGACGGUACCGCUAAAGGAAGCCACGGCUAACUCUGUGCCAGCAGCCGCGGUAAUACAGAGGUGGCAAGCGUUGUUCGGAAUUACUGGGCGUAAAGGGCGCGUAGGCGGCCUUCUAAGUCAGACGUGAAAUCCCCCGGCUUAACCUGGGAACUGCGUCUGAUACUGGAGGGCUUGAGUGCGGGAGAGGGAUGUGGAAUUCCAGGUGUAGCGGUGAAAUGCGUAGAUAUCUGGAGGAACACCGGUGGCGAAGGCGGCAUCCUGGACCGACACUGACGCUGAGGCGCGAAAGCUAGGGUAGCAAA
rnacentral:rRNA from 1 species